rnacentral:rRNA from 1 species
AUUGAACGCUGGCGGCAGGCCUAACACAUGCAAGUCGAACGAGUGGCGGACGGGUGAGUAAUGUUUGGGAAACUGCCCGAUGGAGGGGGAUAACUACGGGAAACUGUAGCUAAUACCGAGUACCAUAGGAUGAGCCCAAGUGGGAUUAGGUAGUUGGUGAGGUAAAGGCUCACCAAGCCGACGAUCCCUAGCUGGUCUGAGAGGUUGACCAGCCACACUGGGACUGAGACACAGCCCAGAGUCCUACGGGAGGCAGCAGUGGAGAAUAUUGCGCAAUGGGGGCAACCCUGACGCAGCCAGGCCGCGUGGAGGAAGAAGGCCUUCGGGUUGUAAAGUGCUGUCGGAAGCGAGGCGUUAACUACAGAGGAAGCACCGGCUAACUCCGUGCCAGCAGCCGCGGUAAUUC